CUUGCCGGGUCUGAGGGCGGCGUGGGAAGGAGGAGGGCUCCGGCAGGGUCAAAGUAACAGAAGAUGAAGGAAGAUGAAACUAGGCAGACUUUAGCAGCAGGAAAAAAAAAAAAGAAGAAGAAGAAGGAAAAAAAACAACAAAAACCCAUCGAGAGGCACAUGAGUAAAUCUUGGAUGCUGUGCAUUCUCAUUUUGAACUGGUUUGAACUGGUGUUGGUUGCUUCUGUGCAGAUAUGGAACGUGGUUAAAGUUUUAUAAUGGAAAAUCUGACAGGCAGUUAACUAAUCCAUGAGUCAUAUUUCAUGACUGCAUGCUGCCCUUUUAUACCUGCAAGAAUGAGCGCUGCACUUACUGAAACAGGGAAGUCUACUGCCUGCCUUUCCACCCCUCUCUCUCUGUGGCUGUUUACAGAACUGCAGAGUGCUUUUCAGGCUGUCAACUUCCCCUUAUCCUCCUUGUUUCCUGAUUCCCUGAGCUUGUGUAGAAACUGAUGCUGCGGCAGGGCAAGGUAAAGAACUGAAAAAUAAGUGAAGAAUUGUGACAGAAGAACAGGCGUUGCCCCAGGGACUCAUAUACUAAAACAUCUUGAAAAAAUCUUCUGAAAAACAGACCAGUUGUGAGUUGACAGUAUCCUUUUAAGAACAGUUUAUGUUGAAAGGUCCUAUGACCAAGUUUUGGCCAAGCACAAGUGUUAAUGAGUUUUUUGAAGUGAAAAGCAUUUAUAUAGACAAAAAUAGAUAGUACUGACAUGUCUCACAGUCAUUGUUUACAAUUUCUGUGUGAUCCCUUGUCCAGAUUUACAAUGAACACUUGCUGUCCCAGCAGAACUUAAAACGUUUAUGGUUUUCUCUUUAAUGCUAUAAUUAAAAACAGGAUGAUUUUCAUGGGACUAGAAUAAUAUGUAAUUCUUGUGAGAGCUCUAUCUUUUAAGCAGCCUUAUCUAAGGUAUAAUCCUCACUGACCUAAGCAUGCAGAGACAUUUUUUACACUUCCUUAUGUCUUCAUUGAGCAAUUAUACACCCUUAGGGUUAUUUCAACCUGAUAUCUUUAGAUAUCUAAUCUCUCACUAGUUCUUCACAUUUUGUGGAUGAAUGGAUGCUCCUUAUCGUGCAACAAAAAGACCAGUCUGGCGUCCCUAGGGCAGACCAUGCAUUACAGCAGAACUCAGAGAGGCGUAAUUAUAGAGGACAGGUAGAAAGUUAGCUCCUCGAAUGGGAAUUUCUUUGCACUGGAAUACUUACCUAUUUUGAUGUCUGAUGUUUAAUUAGCACUGUUCCUCUACAAAUACAUUUCUGCCAUGCGGAAACUUUUAACUUGCUUUUAAAAGUUUUGUUCUGAAAAUGGUUCAUGUAAGGUAUUUGAACCUGCUUUGUCUAGUAGUAUUAAUAACCUGGGGCAGACAGUGUUUAUAUGGUACCAAGCACCAUGAUGGCACUUAGUAAAUAAUGAAAUAAAUCACAGGCUUUGUUUCUGUUUAAACACUGUGCUUGACCUCUGUGGAUAUCUUCUGGAUCCUGCUCAACAGCCUCAUUUGGGUGCAACUGGAUAUUGUGCCAAUUUUAUUCCAGCUCCAUUAACGUAUGGCAACAAUACAGACAGUACAUCGCCUGACAAAGAACUCAUAGUCCUCCUCUGGAUUUAUGUAGCAAGAUUUUGGCAGUGGGGUGGCCUGCAAGAAGCCAGCAGCUGCCCCGUGUCAGAUCACAGCCCUUGUAGGAGCAGCCCAGGCCUGAGCUGCAGCCCAUGGAGAGCAGCCUGCAGAGGGGCAGGAGGGCUGAGGGAGCUGCCGCCUGUGGGGAACCGUGUGGAGCAGUGCCUGAAGGGUGGGCUCCAUGGUGCGGAGCUGUGUUGGAACAGUGCUGGGAGAGCUGCAGCAUGUGGAAAGCCCAUGUGGGAUCAGACCAGGAAGGAUGCCAUCCCAUGGGACGGACCCACACAGAACAGAAGCAGAGAGUGAUCAUGGAAGAGCAGAAGACAUGAAGCUUUAUGGACUGACCGCAGCCCCCUUUCCCUAUUCCCCUGUGCUCGUUGAGGGAAGGAGGUAGGAGUUGAGCCUGAGAAAAGGUGGGUGGAGGAGAGGUGUUGUCAGUCUGUUUUUAUUUCUCAUUGCCCUAUUACUAAUAGGCCAUAAAUAAAAUAAAUCUUCCCCAAGUAGCCUAUUUUGCUUGUGACAGUAAUCACUGAGUGGUCUCCCUAUCUUUCUCUCAACCGAUGAGCUUUUCCAUUGUAUUUUCUCUUUCUGAAGAGAAGUGAGAGAGCAGCUUGGUGAGCACCUAGUGAC
rnacentral:lncRNA from 1 species